UACGUAGGGGGCUAGCGUUGUCCGGAAUCAUUGGGCGUAAAGAGCGCGUAGGCGGCUAGAUAAGUCCGGUGUGAAAGUCACAGGCUCAACCUGUGAAUGCCGCUGGAAACUGUCUGGCUAGAGUCCGGAAGGGGCGAGUGGAAUUCCUGGUGUAGUGGUGAAAUGCGUAGAGAUCGGGAGGAACACCCGUGGCGAAGGCGGCUCACUGGGCCGGUCCUGACGCUGAGACGCGAAGGCGUGGGGAGCGAACGGG
rnacentral:rRNA from 1 species